CGAAGGAUGAAGUCUUUUGUGCUGUCGUGAACCUGGCAUACAAUGUAGAUUUCUGUGUGGUACUAUCUACAGCUACAUUGUCUGCUGGGUUUCAGGCCAGCAGAAUAAUUCUGCUCUACUGAC
rnacentral:pre_miRNA from 8 species